rnacentral:rRNA from 1 species
CCUACGGGUGGCAGCAGUGAGGAAUAUUGGUCAAUGGCCGGAAGGCUGAACCAGCCAAGUCGCGUGAGGGACGACUGCCCUAUGGGUUGUAAACUUCUUUUAUAAGGGAAGAAUAAAUGCUACGUGUAGCAUGAUGCCUGUACCUUAUGAAUAAGCAUCGGCUAACUCCGUGCCAGCAGCCGCGGUAAUACGGGGGAUGCGAGGGUUAUCCGGAUUUCUUGGGUGUAGAGGGUGCGUAGGCGGAUUUUUAAGUUAGUGGUUAAACGUCGGGGCUUCUCCGUGAUUUGCCAUUAAUACUGUAAGACUCGAGUUCAGACGAGGUAAGCGGAAUAAGUUGAGUAGCGGUGAAAUGCUUAGAUAUAACGAAGAACACCGAUAGCGAAGGCAGCUAACCGGACUGCAACUGACGCUGAGGCACGAGAGCGUGGGUAGCAAACAGGAUUAGAUACCCGAGUAGUC